AUUCCGUGAUGAGGACAUUUUCUCAACAGUUCCUUGAACCUUUCCCAUGCAUCAUACAAUGAUUCUCCAUCAUUAUUAUAGAAAUUAUUCAUCUCACCCCUUAGUUU